rnacentral:rRNA from 1 species
CCCUUAGACGUUCUGGGCCGCACGCGCGCUACACUGACCAGUGCAACAAGCAUCCGUCCUUGGCCGACAGGCUCGGGCAAUCUUUGAACGCUGGUCGUGAUGGGGAUAGACUUUUGCAAUUUUUGGUCUUCAACGAGGAAUUCCUAGUAAACGCAAGUCAUCAACUUGCAUUGAUUACGUCCCUGCCCUUUGUACACACCGCCCGUCGCACCUACCGAUUGAAUGGUCCGGUGAAGCCUCCGGAUUGGCGCGCACCUCGGUGCCGCCGAGAAGUUGGCUAAACCUUACCAUUUAGAAGAAGGUGAAGUCGUAACA